UUGGGAAUGCAGCCCAAAAUGGUGGUAAACUCCAUCUAAAGCUAAAUAUUGGCACGAGACCGAUAGCGAACAAGUACCGUGAGGGAAAGAUGAAAAGCACUUUGAAAAGAGAGUUAAAAAGUACGUGAAACCGUUAAAAGGGAAACGAAUGGGGUUAGCAAUGCGUCGUGCGAGAUUCAGCCGGUGGNUGGGCCAGGCGGGCGGUUGGCGGAUCUGAAUGGACCGCUGCCGUUCGGGUUGGUUUCCCGACCGUCGCACUUCUCGCAGGCGCGCGCCAACGUCGGUUAGGGCUGGGUUUCAAAGGCGGUGGAAAGGUAGGUUUGGACUCUCGGGCCCGAACUGUUACAGUCCUCCGUUCGUCAUGGCCCGGACCUGACCGAGGAGCUUGCGGUGCAUGCCCUUUCGGCUAGGGUCCCGUCUUCCCGGUCGGUCGUCGAAUGCGGUGGACUGCGUGCAGUGCGCCGCGACUGCUGCCGGUCGCGAGGGCGGUGAUUUCGUACUAUGCACCCACGACGUUGGCGAUCAUAUGGCCUCAUCCGACCCGUCUUGAAACACGGACCAAGGAGUCUAACAUGUGUGCGAGUCUUUGAGUGAUCCAAACUCCGAGGCGUAAUGAAAGUGAAGGCGACUUCGGUCGCUGAGGUGAGAGCCUUUUUCCACAAAAAAAAGGCGCAUCAUCGACCGACCUAUUCUACUCUUAGAAAGGUUUGAGUAAGAGCGCAUCUGUUGGGACCCGAAAGAUGGUGAACUAUGCCUGAAUAGAGUGAAGCCAGAGGAAACUCUGGUGGAGGCUCGUAGCGAUUCUGACGUGCAAAUCGAUCGUCAAAUUUGGGUAUAGGGGCGAAAGACUAAUCGAACUGUCUAGUAGCUGUUCC
rnacentral:ncRNA from 1 species